rnacentral:lncRNA from 1 species
GCCAGAAAUGGGUUUUGCAGUCUUUCUAUUCAACUGUAUCUCAAGGAUCCAGUGGGAUAUCUACUCCAGGGCCUACAACCUCCUUUAAAGAACAGAAACUUGUUCUUGUCCUUCUCAUCUGAGCCAGCUGCAGGGAACGUGGGCAGAUUGAUGACGGAGAGUUGAGGCAAAGCCUGGGUAGACCCAGCAGAUCCAAGCAGAAGCAAGGAAUGGGUAGUGUCAAGUCCAGGGCUGCAGGAGGAAUGCAAGACCCAGGAAGAGAGAGACGGAAGGGAAUGAGAAGAAGUCCUCAUGUAAUAAUUUUCUUCCAGUCGGUGCAUCAAAACCUCACUCGUAUCUGGAAUCUCAUUGCAUUCAACAGCCAUGAAUCAGCAGAGCUUGUUCAGAAAUCUCUGGAACCCCUUGGAGGGUAAUAGGGUUGUGAG